rnacentral:rRNA from 1 species
GGAUAACUCCGGGAAACCGGAGCUAAUACCGGAUAAUCCCUUUCUCCACCUGGAGAGAGGGUGAAAGAUGGCUUCGGCUAUCACUAGGGGAUGGGCCCGCGGCGCAUUAGCUAGUUGGUAAGGUAACGGCUUACCAAGGCGACGAUGCGUAGCCGACCUGAGAGGGUGAUCGGCCACACUGGGACUGAGACACGGCCCAGACUCCUACGGGAGGCAGCAGUAGGGAAUCUUCCGCAAUGGACGAAAGUCUGACGGAGCAACGCCGCGUGAGUGAGGAAGGC